CAGUAGCCGCGGUAAUACGUAGGUGGCAAGCGUUGUCCGGAAUCAUUGGGCGUAAAGGGCUCGCAGGCGGUUUCUUAAGUCUGAUGUGAAAGCCCCCGGCUCAACCGGGGAGGGUCAUUGGAAACUGGGAAACUUGAGUGCAGAAGAGGAGAGUGGAAUUCCACGUGUAGCGGUGAAAUGCGUAGAGAUGUGGAGGAACACCAGUGGCGAAGGCGACUCUCUGGUCUGUAACUGACGCUGAGGAGCGAAAGCGUGGGGAGCGAACAGGAUUAGAUACCCGUGUAGUCCCUGUCUCUUAUAC
rnacentral:rRNA from 1 species